GCUAACAGUUUAAGCAAGCAGUGCACUGCACUGCACUUUCUGGGAUCAUGCUCUUUCCUUAUAUAAUGUACAAAUAUAAAUAUAGAGGAUGACACUCACUAACUAGAAAGUUGCAAAAGCUGGAGUUGAUGGAAAAUGUCAUGUAAUUCCAUAGUAUGGGAUUCAUGUGCAGCUGGGCCAAAACACUUACCGAGCAGACUUCUCCAAGAUGAGUCUACCAGUUGUGUUCAUCUGAACAGUUGCUGGCUUCUGGCUGCCUUGGACAGGUCAUUUGAAAAUCUCAGAGGAAAUUUAACAGGCUCUACCCAUACACCUUACCAAAAGGAAUCCCCUAUAUACACUGUAUGCACACGUGCAACCGUGGACUGUGUGGGAAUAUAUGAGCAACCUGCUCGGGGUUUCCCUGCUUGA
rnacentral:lncRNA from 1 species